UGGGGAAUAUUGCACAAUGGGCGCAAGCCUGAUGCAGCCAUGCCGCGUGUAUGAAGAAGGCCUUCGGUUUGUAAAGUACUUUCAGCGGGGAGGAAGGGAGUAAAGUUAAUACCUUUGCUCAUUGACGUUACCCGCAGAAGAAGCACCGGCUAACUCUGUGCCAGCAGCCGCGGUUAUAUGGAGGGUGCAAGCGUUAAUCGGAAUUACUGGGCGUAAAGCGCACGCAGGCGGUCUGUCAAGUCGGAUGUGAAAUCCCCGGGCUCAACCUGGGAACUGCAUUCGAAACUGACAGGCUAGAGGCUUGUAGAGGGGGGUAGAAUUCCGGGUGUAGCGGUGAAAUGCAUAGAGAUCUGGAGGAAUACAGGUGGCGAAGGCGGCCCCCUGAACAACGACUGACGAUCAGGUGCGAAAGCGUGGGGAGCAAACAGG
rnacentral:rRNA from 1 species